UACAGAGACCACGAGCGUUAUCCGAAUUUAUUGGGCGUAAAGGGUCCGCAGGCGGUUUUGUAAGUCAUUCGUCAAAUCUUCGGGCUCAACCCGAAGGCCGCGGGUGAUACUGCAAAACUAGAGGCUGGGAGAGGCACACGGAAUUGCUGGUGUAGCGGUAAAAUGCGUUAAUAUCAGCAAGAACACCAAAUGCGAAAGCAGUGUGCUGGAACAAGCCUGACGCUCAGGGACGAAAGCGUGGGGAGCGAAU
rnacentral:rRNA from 1 species